rnacentral:rRNA from 1 species
UUCGGUGGUCAUAGCGUGAGGGAAACGCCCGGUUACAUUCCGAACCCGGAAGCUAAGCCUUACAGCGCCGAUGGUACUGCAGGGGGGACCCUGUGGGAGAGUAGGACGCCGCCGAACUUCUUUUAG